rnacentral:rRNA from 1 species
UACGUAGGGACCGAGCGUUGUCCGGAAUCAUUGGGCGUAAAGAGCGUGUAGGCGGCCAACUAAGUCCUGCGUGAAAUCUCGGGGCUCAACCCCGAGCGGUCGUGGGAAACUGGUUGGCUAGAGUGCGGGAGAGGAGAGUGGAAUUCCUGGUGUAGCGGUGAAAUGCGCAGAUAUCAGGAAGAACACCCGUGGCGAAGGCGGCUCUCUGGAACGCAACUGACGCCGAGACGCGAAAAGCGUGGGGAGCAAACAGG